UCGAACCCUGCCCAGCAGAACGACCCGCGAACGUGUUCAUAAGAUGGCUUAUGUCGGCAUCGGGCGUCCGCAUUCUCGGAAUGCCCGUGCUAGCACUGGCCCUUCACAUGGCCUCGGUCGAGCGGUUAGGGAGCACGGGCCUAGGCCCCCCUACAUCCCUCGUUCUUGGCUUCUAACCAACCCCCGGCGCGGAAAGCGCCAAGGAAUUACAAGCGAAAAGCGGUCGCUCCGAUUGCCCCGGGAACGGUGCGCGAAAGGGACGAUUGCGAUUUGAGAAUCUUAACGACUCUCGGCAACGGAUAUCUCGGCUCUCGCAUCGAUGAAGAACGCAGCGAAAUGCGAUACUUGGUGUGAAUUGCAGGAUCCCGCGAACCAUCGAGUUUUUGAACGCAAGUUGCGCCCGAAGCCUUUUGGCCGAGGGCACGUCUGCCUGGGUGUCACUCAACCGUCGCUCCGACCCCUUCCUUUUUUGGUAGGGUUGUAGAUCGGGCGGAAGAUGGCCUCCCGUUUGCUUCCCGCAUGCGGUUGGCCCAAAUGUCCGGUCCUCAGCAUCGUCGCCACGGAUAUCGGUGGUUGUAUGACCCUCGCUAAACGCUGUGAUCGAUCCGGUGCUGGCGAGACCUACCGAGGCCCCAAAGCGUAUCGAGAGACGCGCUCGCAAUGCGACC
rnacentral:rRNA from 1 species